AGUCGAGCGAACAGAUAAGGAGCUUGCUCCUUUGACGUUAGCGGCGGACGGGUGAGUAUCACGUGGGUAACCUACCCAUAAGACUGGAAUAACUCCGGGAAACCGGGGCUAAUGCCGGAUAAUAUUUAGAACCGCAUGGUUCUAAAGUGAAAGAUGGCCUUGCUAUCACUUAUGGAUGGACCCGCGCCGUAUUAGCUAGUUGGUAAGGUAACGGCUUACCAAGGCAACGAUACGUAGCCGACCUGAGAGGGUGAUCGGCCACACUGGAACUGAGACACGGUCCAGACUCCUACGGGAGGCAGCAGUAGGGAAUCUUCCGCAAUGGGCGAAAGCCUGACGGAGCAACGCCGCGUGAGUGAUGAAGGUCUUCGGAUCGUAAAGCUCUGUUAUUAGGGAAGAACAAAUGCGUAAGUAACUGUGCGCGUCUUGACGGUACCUAAUCAGAAAGCCACGGCUAACUACGUGCCAGCAGCCGCGGUAAUACGUAGGUGGCAAGCGUUAUCCGGAAUUAUUGGGCGUAAAGCGCGCGUAGGCGGUUUUUUAAGUCUGAUGUGAAAGCCCACGGCUCAACCGUGGAUGGUCAUUGGAAACUGGAAAACUUGAGUGCAGAAGAGGAAAGUGGAAUUCCAUGUGUAGCGGUGAAAUGCGCAGAGAUAUGGAGGAACACCAGUGGCGAAGGCGACUUUCUGGUCUGCAACUGACGCUGAUGUGCGAAAGCGUGGGGAUCAAACAGGAUUAGAUACCCUGGUAGUCCACGCUGUAAACGAUGAGUGCUAAGUGUUAGGGGGUUUCCGCCCCUUAGUGCUGCAGCUAACGCAUUAAGCACUCCGCCUGGGGAGUACGACCGCAAGGUUGAAACUCAAAGGAAUUGACGGGGACCCGCCCAAGCGGUGGAGCAUGUGGUUUAAUUCGAAGCAACGCGAAGAACCUUACCAAAUCUUGACAUCCUUUGAUCGCUCUAGAGAUAGAGUUUUCCCCUUCGGGGG
rnacentral:rRNA from 1 species